GUUUGUUCUUUACAGCAGGGUCAGCUGGUUGUAUGGCCUCUAGUGAUGGGCUAAACUGCGAUUUUCCGAUAUCAGUGAUUUUUGUGACUGCUACAUUUCAGUUUCUGUUAAUCUUAACUGUGAUUUGUCGCAGUUAAGAAUCGCAGUUAAGGAACCUAGGUCGUGUGUCCUCCGCCACUGCUAUUUCUGCGAUUUCUGCUACUUCCGCGAUUACUGCGACUUUAGUGAUUUCUACUACUUCUGCGAUUUCUGUGACUCCUACGAUUUCUGCGACUUACCACCGUAUGAAAAAGUUACAUCUGUCCAUACAGAAAAUUGCAUCUCAACAAACCUGUCAUUGGUACGCGAACUACAUUUUAGUCGCUCAGUAAAGUGAUAACUCAAAAUAUCAUUGUCAACAGAUCUGGAGAAAUUGCCACUGCAUCUUUAGAGCGUUUUCUUCAGAUGAGAGACACAGUUCUGACUCUGAUUACUGUUUGCUGUACGUAUCUAUCCACAUCAAGGCUGUUGAGAGAGGCUCAUGAAGAUUCAAGACAGCUCUUAGAAGAUUUUGCAGUUUAAAAUUGACAUAAUUGUGAAAUAAGUGUGCAGAUGAGUGAUUAAACUGUGUUUUAUUGAAGUUGUUGUGCGAUUUUAAAGGAAUAAUAAAUGUUAA